GAUGAACGCUAGCGACUGGCUUAACACAUGCAAGUCGAGAGGCAGCGGGGGUAGCAAUACCCGCCGGCGACCGGCGCACGGGUGAGUAACGCGUAUGCAACUUACCUAUCAGAGGGGAAUAACCCGGCGAAAGUCGGACUAAUACCGCAUGAAGCAGGGGCCCCGCAUGGGGAUAUUUGCUAAAGAUUCAUCGCUGAUAGAUAGGCAUGCGUUCCAUUAGGCAGUUGGCGGGGUAACGGCCCACCAAACCGACGAUGGAUAGGGGUUCUGAGAGGAAGGUCCCCCACAUUGGUACUGAGACACGGACCAAACUCCUACGGGAGGCAGCAGUGAGGAAUAUUGGUCAAUGGGCGCGAGCCUGAACCAGCCAAGUCGCGUGAGGGAUGAAGGUUCUAUGGAUCGUAAACCUCUUUUAUAAGGGAAUAAAGUGCGGGACGUGUCCUGUUUUGUAUGUACCUUAUGAAUAAGGAUCGGCUAACUCCGUGCCAGCCGCCGCGGUAA
rnacentral:rRNA from 1 species